AGUGCACUCCCCCCGUCUCCCUCACUCUGCCAUCUAGCUCAUGCCCAUGACAAAUUCCUCUUCUCCCAGCAUUGAAGCUGCUUGCACCCUCCCAACAGCCCCUUAACAACUCCACUGCAGAAGCUUGCAUCCACAGUGCCAGUGCACCCGGUGUGCCACAAAUCCUCCAUGGGGAUGUUGCUUUCACUGGACAGAGUGACCCUUCCAGGACUGAAGCAUGGAUGUGGUCCUGACCCAGCCUUGAUGGUGCAGCCAAGGACAACAUCCCAGGAACUAUGAUGCAACCAGACUGAAGGGAACCACGGCCCCAACUGUUACCUGGCCAUUUCUUGACCAUUCACCCUCAUCUCCUGCUGGAAAAAUAAGUUAACUGCAUCGUCUUUCAGCAUGUGUGUGGGUGUGAGAGCAACUUAGCUCUGCUUCAACAUAGCAGCUCAGGGCUUCCCUAGGCCGUCAGAUUCUCUAGAGAAGAUACAAUCUCUGACAGCUUUUUAUCUCCUGCCCACAGCAG
rnacentral:lncRNA from 1 species